ACUGGGAUGGUAACAGAAAGAUACCAGAAAAGGUGGAGGGGAGAAUCUCAGUGCUCAUUUCUCUCAUGAAUUAAAUUCUGCUCUUCAGUUUUUCUUUUGUCCUGUAAAAGCCACAACUUUCCAGCUCCGGGCUCAGACCUACGAUAAAGCAUUGCAAAGGCAUUUUCUUCCUGGAAAUGGUCUUCUUUUCCAGGAUUUUUUGCAAGCUUUCCAGUUCAUGCGCUCCAGGUCUACAGCAGCUGUCCCUGGAAGGACACCAGCUCUGGGGAGACGCUGUUGGUUUAAUGGUGAUGGCUCAAACACUGAAGUGUUUAUAAGGUCUGUGGGCUGAGGACCAUACUCUGGGCUGUCUGUAAUUUCUGAUGUUUCUUGCUGCAGACCUGUUUCAAGUAUUACUUCCCUUGCAGUAGCUCUUAACAGAUCAGUAAGAUCAGAGCUAUAGCAUGCUAAACCGUGUGUGAGCACAGCCUCUCACCCUGCCCUGCAGAGCAAAACAACAAGGAUGGGCAGAAGAGGGACAAAGAGGAAAGAGGCUUGUGCCAGAAGUUGAGAGUUGCAUCAGUGAACAAGGUGCUGUAGUGCUGCAGGGACGACACCUGGAGAUUGGCACCGCUGCCUGCAGACAACAUGAGCAAAAUACCUUCCCCGACCCAACAGAAAAUUUUCCAGAGCAGAUGGGAGGUCAGAGCGUCCACUCUGUGGCUCUGCAAGAGACAGAGAAGGAGGGAGAGCCAGAGUGCGCACCAACACCCCCGGAAUGGGACAGUGGCAAAGCAGAAGCUGCAGUCUCCAGUCCUGUGUUGCAGAGAGCUGCGCUGAAGCCAUUUGGCUGGCAAGACAUGGGCUGUCUUUCCAAGCAGGGACUGUAAGAGGUGACUUUGUGGUUUAUGAGUAGCCUGUUCCCUUGUAUUCCAAAAAAAAAAAAAAAAAAAAUGGCAAAGAAGCUGCUGUCCACCAGCUUUCCAGAAGUUUUCCGUAGUUGUCUGACAUUUCCUGGGUAAUUGUGGCCUCUUUCUUUGAUGGAUUUAUUAUGAUCAUGUAUUAAUGCUUUUUUCUAAUACAUGCAAGCUUUCAAAAGAUCCAUCAAGGGAACAGGAAUCCUGUCCCUCCAGGAGACCUUGCCAAGUGUCAGAAUUUCCUAGUACAGAACUUGUGAAUUCAUCUAGGCAGUUUCUAAAAGAGGAGAGGUGUUCAGAGGUGCUGAGGAUGUAGGCUGGGUAACUGGGACUCCAUGGUGUGCUGCUGGGGUGACAUAAACCGAGGGAGGACUUAGAGAGAGUGAUGGGAGAGCGGGCUUAAGAAACAAGCCUUUUCUUCAUUAAAAGCAUUAAGGUCCA